UGUUCUUUUGUUGUGCGGUGGUUUUUAAAU
rnacentral:piRNA from 1 species